rnacentral:rRNA from 1 species
UACGUGAGGGUGCGAGCGUUAAUCGGAAUUACUGGGCGUAAAGCGUGCGCAGGCGGUUCGUUGUGUCGGCGGUGAAAUCCCCGGGCUCAACCUGGGAAUGGCCGUUGAAACUGGCGAACUGGGAGUGUGGCAGAGGGGGGUGGAAUUCCGCGUGUAGCAGUGAAAUGCGUAGAGAUGCGGAGGAACACCGAUGGCGAAGGCAGCCCCCUGGGCUGACACUGACGCUCAGGCACGAAAGCGUGGGGAGCAAACAGG